CGGUCCCGCCCUCCAGAGUUGGUACCGCCCACACUCGUCACCUCCCAGCGCCCUUCCUUGGCCUGAUCCUGCCCUGAGGACCGACCCUGGCCCUGCAUCUGACUCAGCCUAAGGCCCAACCUUGUUCUUACUAAGAAAACUAGACUACGUCGGCCGCCCCACUCCUUGCUCGCGGCCCCACAUCGCCCUCCCUGCCGCCGCCAGCCCGAGACCGGAAGCGGACGUGCGGGGCGGUCCGCCCGACACCGGAAGCGGAAGCGCGGGGCGGUGCCGUGGGAGGAGCCGCACGUAGCGCGCCGGGGAGCGAGUCCCUUCGUCUCCGCGAGUCGGCGCAUUUGGCCCAGCGGGAGGGGUCGGACUCGCUGAGAAAAGCAUCUCUCAAGCUCAGAUUUGUGUUGAAACAAGCCUCAGAGUGCAUCUGUCCUCACUGAUCCGUGGGCUUCUGUGGGACUAGGAACUCCGGAGUGGCCUGGCCAGAAGCUUCUGGCUUGGAAUUUUCUGAAGGCUGCAGGAGGCUGUCAGCUGGACUGUGUCAUCGGAAGGCUCGACUGGUGCCCCAGGCUCACUCCCAUGGCUGGAAGGCCGGGGCUGGCUGUGGGCAGGAAGCCGCGGCUCCUCUGCACCUAGGCCCCCGAGCACGGCUGCGCUGAUCUCGUCCCACCAUGGCAACCAGCAUCCCCUAGGGCAGCGUCCAGAAGACCAAGACGGCAGCUGCAGUGCCUUCUAGGCCCUGGCCUUGGAAAUCACCCACUGUCCCCUCUGCCAGAUCUGCCGGUCACACAGAGCACGGUCCCGACGUCCCGUGGAAACAAGGGAAGGAGCGUCCUGCUCCUCCACUGCCCUGCGUGUUGGUGUCGGGUCACAGGAUGGCGGCCGUCCUCCUACCCCAAGCUGCUGGUGAGUCUUGGGGUCCCAGCAGCCCUCAGAGGCCAGGCCUGAGAGUUCCCCGACCCACAGCCUGGGACAGGGAGGGGUCUGGACAGAGCAGGCAGGACGGAUGGAGCCUCGGGGGCCACAGGUCCGGCGUCUGACUGGCAGCUCUUGGGAUUGAGGACUUAGGGGUUGGGGGUCUGUGGAUUUGCCGCCUGCGUGGUGAGUGUGCGGGAGUCUUGAAUUCUACCUGUCCUUCUUUCUGUAAAACGUGAUAAAAACACGUGAUGGUUUCCUCAUUUCUCUGUGAAAUGAGCAUAAUCUCUCAUCUAGUGUAGUUCUUUUUAUGGUGUGCAUGAGAGAGGGCUGGGCCCUGGUUUCUUAAUAAAGUUGGUGGGGGCCGUCUGUGGGGUGUAGACAUGUGCUGGGGGUGUGCCCGUGUGGGUGUCUGUGGAGUGUAGGCAUAUGCUGGGGAGUGUGCCCGUGUGGGUGUCUGUGGGGUGUAGGCGUGUGCUGGGGGGUGUGCCCGUGUGGGUGUCUGUGGGGUGUAGACAUGUGCUGGGGGUGUGCCCUUGUGAGUGUCUGGGGGGUGUAGACAUGCUGGGGGGUGUGCCCGUGUGGGUGUCUGUGGGGUGUAGACAUAUGCUGGGGGGUGUGCCCGUGUGGGUGUCUGUGGAGUGUAGAUAUGCUGGAGGGUGUGCCCAUGUGGGUGUCUGUGGGGCGUGUGUGUGUGCUGGGGGGUGUGCCCGUGUUGGUGUCUGUGGGGUGUAGACAUGCUAGGGGGUAUGCCCGUGUGAGUGCCUAUGGGGUGUAGACAUGCUGGGGGGUGUGCCCGUGUGGGUGUCUGUGGGAUGUAGACAUGCUGGGGGUGUGCUUGAGUGGGUGUCUGUGGGGUGUAGACAUGC